rnacentral:tRNA from 1 species
GUCAGGGUAGCUCAGUUGGUUAGAGCACGGCAUUCAUAACGCCGAGGUCGGGAGUUCAACCCUCCCUCCUGACACCA